CUGGCGGCAGGCCUAACACAUGCAAGUCGAGCGGUAGCACAGAGAGCUUGCUCUCGGGUGACGAGCGGCGGACGGGUGAGUAAUGUCUGGGAAACUGCCUGAUGGAGGGGGAUAACUACUGGAAACGGUAGCUAAUACCGCAUAAUGUCGCAAGACCAAAGUGGGGGACCUUCGGGCCUCAUGCCAUCAGAUGUGCCCAGAUGGGAUUAGCUAGUAGGUGGGGUAACGGCUCACCUAGGCGACGAUCCCUAGCUGGUCUGAGAGGAUGACCAGCCACACUGGAACUGAGACACGGUCCAGACUCCUACGGGAGGCAGCAGUGGGGAAUAUUGCACAAUGGGCGCAAGCCUGAUGCAGCCAUGCCGCGUGUGUGAAGAAGGCCUUCGGGUUGUAAAGCACUUUCAGCGGGGAGGAAGGCGUUAAGGUUAAUAACCUUAGCGAUUGACGUUACCCGCAGAAGAAGCACCGGCUAACUCCGUGCCAGCAGCCGCGGUAAUACGGAGGGUGCAAGCGUUAAUCGGAAUUACUGGGCGUAAAGCGCACGCAGGCGGUCUGUCAAGUCGGAUGUGAAAUCCCCGGGCUCAACCUGGGAACUGCAUUCGAAACUGGCAGGCUAGAGUCUUGUAGAGGGGGGUAGAAUUCCAGGUGUAGCGGUGAAAUGCGUAGAGAUCUGGAGGAAUACCGGUGGCGAAGGCGGCCCCCUGGACAAAGACUGACGCUCAGGUGCGAAAGCGUGGGGAGCAAACAGGAUUAGAUACCCUGGUAGUCCACGCCGUAAACGAUGUCGAUUUGGAGGUUGUGCCCUUGAGGCGUGGCUUCCGGAGCUAACGCGUUAAAUCGACCGCUGCAGGAGUACGGCCGCAAGGUUAAAACUCAAAUGAAUUGACGGGGGCCCGCACAAGCGGUGGAGCAUGUGGUUUAAUUCGAUGCAACGCGAAGAACCUUACCUGGUCUUGACAUCCACAGAACUUUCCAGAGAUGGAUUGGUGCCUUCGAGAACUGUGAGACAGGUGCUGCAUGGCUGUCGUCAGCUCGUGUUGUGAAAUGUUGGGUUAAGUCCCGCAACGAGCGCAACCCUUAUCCUUUGUUGCCAGCGGUUAGGCCGGGAACUCAAAGGAGACUGCC
rnacentral:rRNA from 1 species